UACAGAGGUCUCAAGCGUUGUUCGGAUUCAUUGGGCGUAAAGGGUGUGUAGGUGGCGCCGUAAGUCAGGUGUGAAAUUUCGGAGCUCAACUCCGAAACUGCAUUUGAUACUGCGGUGCUUGAGGACUGGAGAGGAGACUGGAAUUUACGGUGUAGCAGUGAAAUGCGUAGAUAUCGUAAGGAAGACCAGUGGCGAAGGCGGGUCUCUGGACAGUUCCUGACACUGAGGCACGAAAGCUAGGGGAGCAAACAGG
rnacentral:rRNA from 1 species